GUCUGGUUAAUUCCGAUAACGAACGAGACUCUGGCCUAUUAAAUAGUUUGCCCAUGCCGUGUCGUGGGCGCAAACUUCUUAGAGGGACAAGCGGUGUCUAGCCGCACGAGAUUGAGCAAUAACAGGUCUGUGAUGCCCUUAGAUGUUCGGGGCCGCACGCGCGCUACACUGAAACAAUCAGUCGGUGUUCUCCCUAACCCGGAAGGGUCGGGUAACCCGUCGAACCUGUUUCGUGCUAGGGAUUGGGGAUUGGAACUGUUCCCCAUGAACGAGGAAUUCCUAGUAAGCGCGAGUCACAAGCUCGCGU
rnacentral:rRNA from 1 species